GGGGGCGUCAAGGUUUCGACGGAGAAUGUACUUUAAAAUCUGCAAGCCGAGUUUGACUCAUACUCGUUAAACAAAAGUCAAAAAAAAUAAUUGCUAAACCCAAUUAUGAGUACGCUUACGCUUAAACUCGUAAGCUGUCUACCUUGUGUGUUUUCUGACCGCUGAGGAUAGGCAUAAACCAGUCAGGAUGCGGUAAGUGCGAUAGGCUUUACGCAUUUGCCUAAGACUUAAAGCUACUCUUUCAGCUGUUUUGCUGGUUUUUGUAAGUUGAAAGUAUAUUAAAAACCCCAGCCAUAGGCUGGUCGUCCUUUGGACGAGGCUAAGCUUGUAGAAGAUUUUAAAAAUAUUUUUCGGACGCGGGUUCGAUUCCCGCCGCCUCCACCC
rnacentral:tmRNA from 1 species